UCCGAGUUAACCCCGGCAGUCCCCCACGAGUCCCCAGCCGAUCCGAAGACCGCUGCUGGCAACAUGGGGUAAGGGUUGCGCUCGUUGCGGGACUUAACCCAACAUCUCACGACACGAGCUGACGACAGCCAUGCACCACCUGUCACCCAGUCCGAAGAGGCCCCCAUCUCUGCCGGUGCACCGUGUAUGUCAAACCCAGGUAAGGUUCUUCGCGUUGCAUCGAAUUAAUCCGCAUGCUCCGCCGCUUGUGCGGGCCCCCGUCGAUUCCUUUGAGUUUUAGCCUUGCGGCCGUACUCCCCAGGCGGGGCGCUUAAUGCGUUAGCUACGGCACGGCGAACGUGAAUGCAUCCGCCACACCUAGUGCCCAACGUUUACGGCUAGGACUAC
rnacentral:misc_RNA from 1 species